rnacentral:tRNA from 1 species
CCUUCGAUAGCUCAGUUGGUAGAGCGGUGGACUGUAGCGUGUACGACUGAAAUCCAUAGGUCGCUGGUUCAAAUCCGGCUCGAAGGA